rnacentral:lncRNA from 1 species
CUUCCUCGCCCUGGGUGUGCAGUGUCUGAGGUAAGGGCCGGUGGCAGCCUGGCUGGUGGGCGGGGCAGCCUCAAGGGACUCUGCCUCUGGCUUUGCAGUACUUUGCACAGCAUGAGCAAGGGGCCGCUGCGGGCGCAGCCGACAUCAGCACCCUAGACCAGAAGCUGCGUCUGGUCACUUCCGACUUCCACCAGCUAAUCUUGGCUUUUCUCCAAGUCUACGACGACGAGCUGGGCGAGUGCUGCCAGCGCCCAGGCCCUGACCUCCACCCGUGCGGCCCCAUCAUCCAGGCCACGCACCAGAAUCUGACUUCCUACAGCCAAAUCCCCAGAGGCCAACCUAAAAAGCCGGCUUUAGUUACG